UGUUGUUCUAGUUGCGCUGGAAGAAUCGAAUGGUGUUCGAGCUUGCGAUCACGAGCGACACUUGGCCGCAACGCUGGAGCAGCGCGUUUAUGCCAGAGUGCGGGAAGCCUCAAGCUCGCUUCUUCCCGACGCCGCCCCGGAUUCGAGGGCCGCCGGGGACCUUCUCCAUCGGCGUUGCCGCCGCUGGGAGGCGGCUCUCAAAAGUUCAGAGUUGGCAGACCGCAGCUCUGGGCCAUCCGGCAAGCCGAAGGUGCCGCUCGAGUUUGCCGCUCGAGUUCAAGGACUUCGAGCCGCCACCUGAGGCCACCACAACAAAAACUGCCGGACCAUUCUCUAUUAAAGUUUCUUCUUCAUCCUU